CCUACGGGUGGCAGCAGUGGGGGAUAUUGCACAAUGGGCGGAAGCCUGAUGCAGCGACGCCGCGUGAUGGAAGACGGGUUUCGGCUUGUAAACUUCUGUUCUUAGUGAAGAAGCAUGACGGUAACUGAGUAGCAAGCCACGGCUAACUACGUGCCAGCAGCCGCGGUAAUACGUAGGUGGCGAGCGUUGUCCGGAUUUACUGGGUGUAAAGGGAGCGUAGGCGGGAAGCCAAGUCAGCGGUGAAAGCUACGGGCUUAACCUGUAGACUGCAGUUGAAACUGGCUUGCUUGAGUGAAGUAGAGGUUGGCGGAAUUCCGGGUGUAGCGGUGAAAUGCGUAGAUAUUAGGAGGAACACCGGCGGCGAAGGCGGCCAACUGGGCUGUAACUGACGCUGAGGCUCGAAAGUGUGGGGAGCAAACAGGAUUAGAUACCCCUGUAGUC
rnacentral:rRNA from 1 species